rnacentral:pre_miRNA from 1 species
GCUUUAACAUGGAGGUACCUGCUGCUUAGAAAAGUAAGUGCUUCCAUGUUUCAGUGG